rnacentral:rRNA from 1 species
CUUUCAACAACGGAUCUCUUGGUUCUGGCAUCGAUGAAGAACGCAGCGAAAUGCGAUAAGUAAUGUGAAUUGCAGAAAUCGUGAAUCAUCGAAUCUUUGAACGCACAUUGCACCCUUGGGUAUUCCCAGGGGUAUGCCUGUUCGAGCGUC